rnacentral:lncRNA from 1 species
AUGACUUUUAUUAAUGCUUUAUGUUUUUCAUUUGAAGAACGCCUUUGAUGCACGCGCGUCUCUCCACCAUCUGAUCAUCCACCUCAUUUAAUGAAUCAGAUCCAACGCGCCAGGCUUUUUCUUAAUUUCUGAAUUUCAUUUUAUUUUCUUUUAUUUCAUUUUAUUUCAAAAAUUCAUAUCUUCAUUUUAAAUCCAAAAAUAUGGGACCAAUUGCAUUAUUUCCCUUUUUAAUACUAGUUUC